AGCUUUUCAGGUUUGCAAUGUGAAUUGAAGACCAUCAGCUCUCCAAGACUCCUUAGGCCCCCUGCAUUACAGUAGGACUCCUGCGGUACCCAGCCUCAAACACUUAUCAGCUCCUGAGUUUUCAGCUUCCCCCAUAAGAGAGCCAUCCUUGGACUACCCUGGCAGUACCACGUAAGCCAAUCUAGCAAAAACCAGUCCUUCUAACACCAAGAAUACCUUUAAUGCUGGCACCCAGAAACUGUGAAAAAGCAAAGUCACCCAGCCUCUGGAUGCUACACAACAGGAGACCUAAACAAGAGACCCUCCAGCUUUCGGAACCCCCACUUCACCCCACACUUGGCCGUGCACUGCGUUUUCUGUCUUCAGUAUCUUUAGAAGGGUGACUUAAAACUUAAUAUCUUUCUGGAUUUUCCAAAUAGUCUCUGCACUCUUUACCAUCUGGGCCUCCUCUGUAGGGCUCAGCUUUACCUUUAUGAUAUCAGAUAUGCCACUCUCUCCCAGGAUACAAGGCACGCUGAGGAACACCUCUUCUUUGAUUCCAUAGAGACCUUGAAUUUUGGUGGUAACUGGAUGCGUUUUCCUGAGAUUCUUCAGAAUACUCUCUGCAAUAUCAGUUACAGACAGGCCAAUGGCCCAGGAAGUAUACCCUUUCAUUUUGAUAAUAUUAUAGGCACUGGCAAUGACUUCUUUGUGGACAUCGCCCCAUUUCUCGGGGUCUUUGUUUGUUCCUAUAGCUGAAUUCAGCUCUCUCAGCGGCACACCGGCGAUGUUCACACCACUCCACACAGGGACACUUGAGUCUCCAUGCUCUCCAAGGACCCACCCGUGGCAGCUUUCAGAGUGGAUCCCAAGCCUCUGCCCAAGCAAGUAACGGAAACGAGCUGUAUCUAGGUUACAGCCGCUUCCAAUAAUACGGUUUGUGGGAAACCUACUCAACUUCCAGGUUACAAAAGUUAGGAUAUCCACUGGAUUGGAAACAAUAAUAAUUUUGCAGCGAGGGCUGUGCUUGAUAAUUUCCGCAACCAUUGCCUUAAAGAUGGUUACGUUUCGCUGGACUAAAUUUAGGCGUGUCUCAUCUUUCUCUUGCCGUGCACCCGCUGUGAUAAUCACUAUCUCAGAGUUGGCAGUGACACGGAAGUCCUUGCUGCAAACAAUAUUUGGCAUUUUUAUGAAGACACUGCCGUGCUGGAGAUCCAUCGUCUCACCCUUCAUUUUUUCUUCAUUAUUAUCAACAAGGGCGAGCUCGUCAGUCAAGCCUUUCGCUAUGAUGCCGAUGGCACAGGCCAUGCCGACUGAUCCAGUUCCUACAAUGGAGAUCUUGUUGUGGAGAACGGGCUCUUCGGAGCUGAUGUGCUGGAUAAGUUCACCCUUCACGGUCGCCAUGGAGGACGUGGGGGUGAGGCUCCACCAGGCCCGGUUGGGAGGGACACGCUGUACCUGACUGGGCCAUAGAGCUAUGCCAAAGUCCUUGAAAUCUACCCUGGUUGUACUCACUCUUCUGCUGGCUCUCAAGAUGCUUGUAGCCCAGGCCAUGGCUGCGCACUCAGGUGGAGGAAGUGAACAGGGUGAGGAAGACAGUUGAGGCCACAACGGCCGGCCGUUGCUAGGCAGUACAGACGCAGCCCUCCCUCCCACUGCGGCUGCGCAGUCCCCCAACUGUGCCGCAUGGGCUUAGCGUGCAGACUGGGUCUUCUUGCUCCUACAACUGCAAGCCUGCACCAUGGCUUUAUACAGCGCUUCCAUUUCCAGCAAGGACAUACUGUAGUUUGUUUUACAAACCCAUAUUCUUUACUAUUGAUAUAUAAAGCCCAACCCAGAACCCUGGAAUUAUUUGUUUGCUGUUCUUAGGGUACAUAGCAAGAAGAUUGGUUUUGGCAACUCGAGAUGAAAAUGAGGCUAAAACCUUGAACCACAACAAGGAGGGCUGUGCUGUCUGCCAAGAGGCAGUCUGGCUGGAGAAAUGGGCUCUUGGUUCGGUGUAUCCAGCAGGAGAAUCGUUGUAGGAAGGAUUUUUAUCAGUAUCCUAACCGUGGUGCAUACCGGUGAAAGGCAGCAGGAAGGAGGGGCAAUCUGGUCUACACCGGAAGAGCACGCCCCUUCUUUCUCCUGCCAAAGGAAAGCCUGCGAUUGCAUGCAAAUUAACCAGAGCACCUAGUGCCCUGUAGAGAACCCAGGUUGUUUUCUCAAGACCCCCACAUCAGGUGGCUCACAAUUGUCUUUAGCUCCAACUUCAGAGACAUUGGAUAGCCUCUGUGAGCACAUAGUCCACAUGGUAACAUAAAUUCCAUGGUCUCUCACACACAUUCACAUAAACAAAUUUAUAUAUAUACCCACACAAAUCAAAACAAUAAUCUUUCCCUAAGCCCUCCAAUUUCUUACGGAAAAAGAUGGCCCUUAACCCUCUAUAGAAUGAAGGUGUCUUUGAAAUGACGCUUUAACCUUUAGCCGAUGGUUAGAUUCUUCCUGAAGUAGUGAAACAGUUACCUGGCAAACCUG
rnacentral:lncRNA from 1 species